rnacentral:lncRNA from 1 species
GAUCUUAGUACUUGAAGAUAAUGUCAAAUUACAUUCGCUUAAGCAUAUACCCUCGUAUUAAAAUAGAGUUGAGAUUAGUUUUCAUUUGUCAGUAUUGGUCGGUUCAAAUAGGAGUAUCUCAUAUUUCUAUUACUCUUAUUCGACAUUGAAUGUCAUAUAUAUAAAAUUACAAUUCAACAUGUAUCUAGCAUUCUAUAGAAAUGUGAUAAGUACGUUAAACACUUUGGACCUAUAACAAAAACACAUUCCGGUGCAUCAUUUGGACCAAACAAAUCUAAAUUCCUGCAAGUUGAAUCAAUCAAAUAGAGUCACAGUAUAUUUUGGGAAAAACUUUUGCAGGAAGAUUAUGAAAAAAUUAAAGGAAUAAAAAAAAAAUAGGAGCAGACAACUGGCAAAUUAUAUCCCAAAGCUUAACAUAGUAACACAUCAUUCCUAAAGUCAGGGGGAAAUAAUCUCUCCUACCUUCAUGAUGCAGGUGUUGUUGAGAUCUUCACAUGUUUAUUCCGAAAUAACCACUUCUGCAAGAGUGGAGGUAAGUUAUAUAAUAAACAUAUUUAUGUAUAAUGAAAUCCAUUGCCAGCAUAGUCUAAUGCUCUAAAUGAAGUUGGAAGAAGGUAGUAGUGCGAAGGCAUAAAAUUAAAGGUUAUUUACAUUUAGCCCUAACAAUAUUUGUGUUGUGCACAAAACCUCAAAAUUAAAAUACGUGCUUCCAUACCUUCAAGCUUUAAUGUUUUUCAUUUGUACAACCUGACCCUUUUUUCAAAUGUUUCUUGUAAAUAUUCCCUUCACCGUAAAACAUAUGUAUGACUCCAAAUAAAUUUCCUUCCCCGAAAAAAGUUGUUGGGUGUCCUGCCAUUUUAUUUUGCAAACUGUAUUAAUUGAGCUUUAUUUUCUAUCCUGCAGUGAAGAAUAUUUAUAUAAUUAAAUUAUAAAAAAGGGUCAUGGUGUACAAAUGUGAAACAUAUAAGGCAUGGAGGUAGAUUUUCAAACUUUGAGGGCUUAUGUGUACAGAAACGGAUACUGUAAGGGCUAUAAGAUAAAUAACCCUUAAUGUAAAUUCAAAUAUCUCAUGAAGACUGUAAAAUAUACUUGACAUGUAUCAAAGGAAGCUAACCUGUUUAUGUCGUUAUAACUUUUCUUCUUUGUAUCAAGUUCAAAUAUUAUAUUUCCCAGUGUCACAUCAAACAAGAAUGCAGAUUCUGGACAUUGUUAACGAGGAGACAUCCAAUUUUUACCAGCACUCCAUUCCAGACAAACAUCUAUUGACAAACGAAAAAAUAAAAUAACUUCAAUCUUCUUACAAAAAGAUAAGGAAUAUUGGUGUGGUUAACAAAGCAUUACGACACUAGACAGGGAACCAGAUAUUACUGAAUCAGAACUUGUGGGAGAUAAAGCAAGUGCAAUUUAGCUAGCUGGCUGAAUUUUAGAACAACAAUUUGUCUUUCUUUUUGUACACACAUAAUUGACUCGAAUGACAUGUCCUAAAAUUACUAUAAAACAGCAAUAUGAUAUUAUAGAAGACCAAUGUUAGUUGAGAUAAUAUUUGGAUCAUUACUUUUAAGAUGAAUGAUACAUUUACGCACAUCGACUAUGUAUACAGAUAAGCUGAAGAAAAAAUUUUGGGGGUGAACUUAACAAGGUAUUCUCUGCAAGCAAUUUUAACUUUUAUUCUGUAACACAUUCUCAAUAUUAUAAAUAUGACUACAAUCUGGUUUCUUAUGGUGAUAAACAUGUCACUAAAAAUAUAAUAAUGAAAUGCAAACAUUAAAACUCGAAUAAUCAAUCACAUCAAAGAAGAAAACAAAUGGCUUGUUGGCCUCUAUGGAAGCAAGAAAUAUAAAGUGAUAUUGAUGUAGAUGCAUGUAUAUAUAGUGUGGAUCCAGCGAAUGAUCAUCGCUGGAGAGACAGAGAAAAAAAGAUUGACAUAUAUAUACUCAGGGACUGAGGAUGGCAAACUGUAAUAUGGAGGACACAUUUGGAUCCUCCAAAACAACAGUUAGUAAAACAGUUCAACAUACUAGUGUAAAGAAAGACGACGAAAAUGAUGCAGUGGUGCACAAAGAGAUGAAUACCCAUGAUGGAAAAAUAUUUAUUGACAAGUUCUUUGAGAUUCCAGAGGAAGACAAUGAUAAGUUCUUGAGAAAGAUUAGAACACGGAUGGACAAGUAAGUGCUUUACUCAAUCACUGAUAGGAUGUAGACUUUGAUACCAUUACGUAUGUAUAUAUGACAGCAAAUUCCUACUACCUUUAUUAACUCGAUUUGGCAUGAGUUGGUGUAGAGCAGGGAUUGACUUGCCAAAAGUAGAAGUCAGGUUUCAGAAUUUAAGUGUGGAAGGCAAUUGCUUGAUCGGAGAUCGAGCACUUCCCACCUUGCCAAAUGUUGCUUGGAAUGUUGCCGAAUCAGCCCUGAGUGGCUGCCUUGGGAUUAAAUUAGCAGGGCAAGCAAAACACAUGAUUCUAAAAGAUGCAAGUGGCAUCAUUAAACCAGCAAGGUAUUGGCAUACACUUAAAUACAUAUAUCGAUAAACAUACAUAUGAACAAGAUGCAUGCAAAGAUCGACUAUACUAAGAUUGAUAAAUAUAUCGACAGAUAUUAGUGAAUCCCCUCAAAAUUUUCAAAUGUUGUGACAGGAUGACACUCCUACUAGGCCCACCUUCUUCUGGGAAAACAACCCUCUUAUUGGCUCUUGCUGGCAUGCUGAACUCUACCUUAAAAGUUAGUUACAAUCUCCUUUUUUUCAUACCUCUUUAUGUCUUGGUUAAAAAAAAUUCCUAAUGACUUGUCUCGAUAUACAGAUUUGUCAAACAUUUUUGAAAACUGUAUAAAAAAGCUCUUAUUUUUGUACCACACAUUCCUUGCUACAGGUUACAGGCGAAAUCACUUACAAUGGGUAUAGACUGGACGAAUUUGUGCCACAGAAAACAUCAUCAUACAUUAGCCAGACUGAUAUUCAUGACGGACAAAUGACCGUAAAAGAGACCUUAAAUUUUUCUUCCAGGUGCCAGGGUGUUGGACCACGAUAUGGUACUUUAUUAAGCUUGCAAAUGAAGUCCUUCACAUUAUCAGCCUCAUUUAUCACUACAAUUCAUCUGCUAGUAGGUAAAUAUUUCAGUUGAUAUUAUGGAAAUUGAUCACUAUAAAAAAAUUGUAGAACUCCUAACUGAGCUUGAAAGGAAGGAAAAGGAAGCUGGGAUAGUUCCUGAUCCUGAGGUUUCUUAUUUCAUGAAGGUACUAUAUUUAGUCAUGCUAUUCCUAAGGGAAAACAUACGGUAAUUUUCCAAGUGCAAUUGCUUUUUAUUGACUUUGUAUUGUUAAACUUUUGACUGUCAAAGCAAACAGCAACAGGAGGAGUUGAAAACUGUUUUAUUACAGAGUAUACUCUAAAAGUAAGUUGGGACACUUUUGUUUAAAUAAAUAUUAGAUAAACUUGCUUAAAUGUGUUGGGACUUUUUAUACUUCCCAACAAAACGUCCUAAUAUAUAUAAAAAGUAUAUGUAACUAUGUCUUCUUACUACCGACUACUACAGAUCUUGGGACUUGAUAAAUGCCGAGACACUAUUGUGGGGAAUGAAAUGCACCGAGGAAUAUCAGGGGGCGAGAAAAAGAGAGUCACUAUAGGUCAAUUUCUUCCCAUUUCCUUUGUAUUAUCCCUAAAUUUCGACAACAGUUUGAAAGGAUCUAAUUGCUACUAAUUUCAAAAAGUGACAUCAGAGCUAAUCAACAAUGUACUAAAUGAUGACUAAUUUCUAAGAAAAGGAUGAUGCUUAUUUAAGUAGUCACUGUUGCUAAAGCAGAAAAGAGUUCACCUAACCAACUUGCCUGGAGUUAGAUUGUGCUUAAAAGUUAACAGUUUCUUCAGAAUGUUCUUGUCAAAAUUCAGGAAAUUUAUAUGCGUUCAGAUUUUUGUCAUAAUUCACAGGGUAAACUAACACCUCGUACACAACAAUGUUCAACACACACACACACACACACACACACACACACACACACACACACACACAUUGUGAAAUUUUGCUUGCUUAACCAGUGUGCAUCAUUUCAUUAAAAAGAACAAGCAAUUACAGAUGUUCAAACUUCAAAUAUUGUUUAGUUCAUCUUAUAAAAUGUACUUACAGGAGAGAUGAUUGUUGGGCCAACAAAGACUCUAUUUAUGGACGACAUAUCCACAGGCCUUGACAGCUCCACAGCAUUUCAGAUAGUGAAAUGCUUGCAGCAGAUUGUCCACCAGACAGAAGCUACAGUGUUAAUUUCCCUCCUUCAGCCAGACCCAGAGAUAUUCAAUCUCU